CUCAGAACACAUGGCUUUCGCUUCCUGGGUCUCUCGCUUCCGCUCUUCUUCCAAAGCUGCCUACACCAAUCUCCGCAGCUCCUUUUUCCUCAAUCUCAGGCCUCAAACCACACUAGCCACCGCGAAUCUCAUCGACUCCGGCGCUGCGAAACGGCCAUUUCUGUUAUGGUCAAGCUCUCUCCUUCCUCUGACCCUCGCUGUCUCUGCUGGAUCACUCGCCUUCCAUUUCCAACCUCAGCCG
rnacentral:misc_RNA from 1 species